GACCUUGGCCUCAUUUUCAUGGUUUAUUGUUCAAUGUUAAGUUGCCAUAGUUGUUCCUUGUUUCAAAUACUAAAAUCAAUACUGAAUAGGCCAACUACAUUUGUGUGUGAAAAGUUGAACAAGGUUGGUCUGACCUUGACCUCAUUUAAAUUGAUCACUUAUAAAGUUAAGUUUAUGUGAUUUUUGUAUAUUCAAGUCCAUCAGGAUAAAAUCAACCAGGUCCAGCAGACAAGACAUUUCUGUGUGUCCACUCUAGUUUUGAAUCUGAUUUAGCAAAAUUUGAUUAUAACAUGAAAUAUUCUUUCAAAUAUUGACAACAAACUACAUAAGGAUGACAGGUUGCCGUCCAAUAUAUUAUGCCAAAUAUAUAAAUUUCUUUUUACAUUAGAUAAAGAAAAAUGAAAAGCUUUAUUUUAAUCCUUUAGAAGAAUUCCAUCCAUAAAAAUAUAUCAAAAUAUUGUUUGUGUGAGAGAGAAUGAUAUUGUUUUAUUUUCAUGUUUAUUUCCUUUGUAUACCAAAUAAUCUUGAAAUAUACCAGGUAAACUUUAACCGGAUGCACAAAACAUUAGCUUGCAGUCUUCUAAAAUUAAAACAAUUCUGGGCUGGUUUUCUGAGACAAUUUUUUUACCUUCCAUUUUUACCGGG
rnacentral:lncRNA from 1 species